rnacentral:rRNA from 1 species
AUUGAACUGAAGAGUUUGAUCCUGGCUCAGAUUGAACGCUGGCGGCAUGCCUUACACAUGCAAGUCGAACGGCAGCACGGGCUUCGGCCUGGUGGCGAGUGGCGAACGGGUGAGUAAUACAUCGGAACAUGUCCUGUAGUGGGGGAUAGCCCGGCGAAAGCCGGAUUAAUACCGCAUACGAUCUGAGGAUGAAAGCGGGGGACCUUCGGGCCUCGCGCUAUAGGGUUGGCCGAUGGCUGAUUAGCUAGUUGGUGGGGUAAAGGCCUACCAAGGCGACGAUCAGUAGCUGGUCUGAGAGGACGACCAGCCACACUGGGACUGAGACACGGCCCAGACUCCUACGGGAGGCAGCAGUGGGGAAUUUUGGACAAUGGGCGCAAGCC